rnacentral:rRNA from 1 species
GACGAACGCUGGCGGCGUGCUUAACACAUGCAAGUCGAACGGAAAGGCCCGGCUUUUGUGGGGUGCUCGAGUGGCGAACGGGUGAGUAACACAUGAGUAACCUGCCCUUGACUGUGGGAUAAAUUCAGGAAACUGGGGCUAAUACCGGAUAGGAGCUCCUGCUGCAUGGUGGGGGUUGGAAAGUUUCGGCGGUUGGGGAUGGACUCGCGGCUUAUCGGCUUGUUGGUGGGGUAGUGGCUUACCAAGGCUUUGACGGGUAGCCGGCCUGAGAGGGUGACCGGCCACAUUGGGACUGCGAUACGGCCCAGACUCCUACGGUAGGCAGCAGUGGGGAAUAUUGCACAAUGGGCGGAAGCCUGAUGCAGCAACGCCGCGUGCGGGAUGACGGCCUUCGGGUUGUAAACCGCUUUCGCCUGUGACGAAGCGUGAGUGACGGUAAUGGGUAAAGAAGCACCGGCUAACUACGUG